UCACGAAUCCCAACUCAUCAAAAUAUGCAUGCUUUCAAAGCACAGUAUAGUCUCAAUCAGCCUCUCCCAUAGUGCAACCAUUGUAUAGUCACUAUCCCUUUUUUCUCAAAAACACCAUGAAAACCGGUCACCCCUUUCCUUUCUCCUCAUUCCUCCUCUCCUUCCACCCCAAAUGAGAAACCUUAAGAUCUCCAUAGCUGGUCAUCGUCUGCCACCUACCCACACGAAUCUUCCAUUUUUAUCACCCAAAGCCAGUAAAUCGCCAAGAAUAAGAGAAAAUCAGUCCCUAAUUUAUGCAAAAAUGAAACUUUCUUAGGAUUCACAGCUAAAGCUUGAUAAAAGCUGAAUUUUUUGCAGAUGGAUGUCAUAAUUUUGAAUUCAAAUCUAAUCUUCAUAAAAAUGUGCUUCAAAUCCGAACUUUGGAGUCUGGAUUUUGGCUAUAAAUAACCCCCAAAAUCGUCAUCAUAAAAAAACAAGUGGGAGAUUAAAGGAAAAUUGGACUAUAUUCAAAAAAGUUUCACUAGAAAAGUCACAAAAGGGGUUGUUGGUUUCUUCUCUUAAUUUCGGUGUUUGAUGGAGUCCUGAAAUUCGAGUUUUGGUGGCCGGAAUACUCGACAAGAAGCCCGAGUUUGCUGCACAAUACAAGAUUUCAAGGGAAUAGAAAUGUGAGGCAUAUGUAUUCAUCCGCUACCAUGUACAAGAGGCAAGUAUUUGUUAUGGAUGGAGCCAAACAUUCACAGCCCAGUGUGUUGAUUGGGACGUGUGUUAUGAUGCUUGCAAAAAAGAAGGAUUCAUAGAUGGAAAAUGCACUACUUUUGGGAUAAAACGAUGCUACUGCAGAAAGAUAUGUCCAUAAUCAACAUUUUCUUGCCUAAAUGUAUAUAUUUUAAAUUAAAAUAAGGUGUUUCAUGAUCAUACUGACGCAUCACUCUAUAAUAUUUUACUACUCGUAAUUUUAUCGUGAUUUCAAUUAUUACUAAAAAAUAUUUGAUGACCUAACGAUCGCGAGGGGGCCAUCUGACCUAGGUCAUGGAGCUGGCCUCCCCACCGUGCCAUCCCCCUUCC